AACUCUGAUCCAGCCUGCCGCGUGCAGGANGACGGCCCUAUGGGUUGUAAACUGCUUUUAUACGGGAANAACCANAUCUACGUGGUAGAUGNCUUGANGGUACCGUAUGAAUAAGGACCGGCUAACUCCGUGCCAGCAGCCGCGGUAAUAU
rnacentral:rRNA from 1 species